CGGGUAGAGUAAUGCGUGACCAACCUGCCCCAUGCUCCAGAAUAGCUCUUGGAAACGGGUGGUAAUGCUGGAUGCUCCAACUUGACGCAUGUCUUGUUGGGAAAGUGUUUAGUGGCAUGGGAUGGGGUCGCGUCCUAUCAGCUUGUAGGCGGGGUAAUGGCCCACCUAGGCUUCGACGGGUAGCGGCCUGAGAGGGCGGACGGCCACAUUGGGACUGAGAUACGGCCCAGACUCCUACGGGAGGCAGCAGCC
rnacentral:rRNA from 1 species